GACGAACGCUGGCGGCGUGCCUAAUACAUGCAAGUAGAACGCUGAAGAGAGGAGCUUGCUCUUCUUGGAUGAGUUGCGAACGGGUGAGUAACGCGUAGGUAACCUGCCUUGUAGCGGGGGAUAACUAUUGGAAACGAUAGCUAAUACCGCAUAACAAUGGAUGACACAUGUCAUUUAUUUGAAAGGGGCAAUUGCUCCACUACAAGAUGGACCUGCGUUGUAUUAGCUAGUAGGUGAGGUAAUGGCUCACCUAGGCGACGAUACAUAGCCGACCUGAGAGGGUGAGCGGCCACACUGGGACUGUGACACGGCCCAGACGCCUACGGGAGGCAGCAGUAGGGAAUCUUCGGCAAUGGGUGCAACCCUGACCGAGCAACGCCGCGUGAGUGAAGAAGGGUGUCGGAUCGGAAAGCUCGGUUGUAAGUCAAGAACGGGUGUGAGAGUGGAAAGUUCACACUGUGACGGCAGCUGACCAGAAAGGGACGGCUAACUACGUG
rnacentral:rRNA from 1 species